ACCCCUACGGGGGGCAGCAGUGGGGAAUAUUGCACAAUGGGCGAAAGCCUGAUGCAGCGACGCCGCGUGGGGGAUGAAGGCCUUCGGGUUGUAAACCCCUUUCAGCAGGGAAGAAAAUGACGGUACCUGCAGAAGAAGGUGCGGCCAACUACGUGCCAGCAGCCGCGGUAA
rnacentral:rRNA from 1 species